rnacentral:tRNA from 4 species
GUUAUAGCCAAGUGGUAAGGCACUAGUUUUUGGUACUAGUAUGCGCUGGUUCGAAUCCAGCUAAC